rnacentral:lncRNA from 1 species
GAAGUCCUUGAUAAUCUCUGCCAUUGUUUUCACAUGCCACAGCGUGUUAAUAGAUUACCUACCCUAUAAUGAAGUACAAAUCACAAAUUGGGAUAACUAGAUAUUUAGAAUUGCAAAGAAAUAUUGAAAUUAGACUUUUCAUGAUAUAACUAGCAAAAGAGAUCAACAAAUCAAACUCGAGGUGGUGGCAGAACCCUAUGAAGGAUGUUUCUAUUAUGAUACACUACUCUUCAGAAAAACAUGUUAACAAUUCAGUGUGUAUGUCUGGUGUUAAAACCAUAGACAGAAAUAUCGAAAUGAGACUUCAUGAUAUAACUAGCAAUAGAGAUCAACAAAUCAAACUCGAGGUGGUGGCUGAACACUACGAAGAAGGAUAUUUCCAUUAUGAUACACUACUCUGCAGAAAAACAUGAUAACAAUUCAAUGUGUAUGUCUGGUGUUAAAACCAUAGACAGAAAAUAAAGGUAGUGCAGAAUAAAUUACAUCCAUCCAAAACCACAUCUUAAACACUCUACCCUGGAACACAAGUAGUUUUUAGCUUGCGGCAACAUGCUUCAACACAUUUUUCUCUCUGUGAUUAAAUGAAGAAUAAUAAUCAAAGAAUUGAUUUAAAAGAUAAGUAUCAGUUUUAGAGACGAACCAUGGAAUUAAGGCACUCAUCCUAAAGAAUUAAGGCACUCAUCUCCAAUCACCAUGGAAAAUGACAAAAUUCUUCUUGGUGACAUUAACUUUGUUGGAGGAAUUUGAAAAAGAUGUUCAUGUCAGUUAAUAAUGUGUUUGAAGGUGGAAAAGUCAUAAGAGGUUAAAUAGAAUUUCCAAUUGGUAUUAACUAUCGCAUUACUGUCUCAAUUAAAAUCUAAAAUUUCUAAUACAUAUCAGAUCCAAUUUGGAGCACAUAUGAAUUCAAGAGCAAUUACUCAAUAAUUAACCAACAUAUAACUAAGAAGAGAGUUAUAGAUGUCACUCACUAGGCUCAGUGGUGGUGAUCAUACCAGCUCCAUUGAAAUCACAAGACCCAAGAGACUCCCUUGAUUAUCAAAGGCAUAAGAAGCACGAUACAUAAAAUUAUUAUGAUCAUAGCAACUCUCACCAAGUUGAAUCUCCAAAUGCUGAACGUACAUAAUAAUCUAAGAAGAAACUUCGAUAUCUAAUAAAACUACUCAUACAGUUUUUCCACCUUAAAGAGCAAAUUUUGUACGCAAAAGUAAUCCAGAAAGCAAGGUUUGCAUGUAUCUUGAAACAAACCCCAACUAGUCAUGAAGACAAAAUCCACCAAGCAGAACUGUGUUGUGCACAUAUAUUUCUAAUCCUGAAACAAUCCCCAAUUGUUACAUGAAACAAACUAAUGAUACCAAACCCAUCAUAUUCAAUAAUUCACAAAAAUCAAAUCACAGAUAGGAAAAAAAGCAUGGAGAAGAAGAAACCAAGAAUUCUUGACUUUAGGAAAAUGUCACCAUAAUUAUGCAAGAAGCUAGAUUUUUCAGGUAUGUUGCUCAACUAUUUUCAAACAUUUCACUGCAGAAUAACAAAUGCACAAUUUAAUAUUCAUAAAAGUUAAAUUCACAAAAAUCAAAUCACAGAUAGGAAAAAAAGCAUGGAGAAGAAGAAACCAAGAAUUCUUGACUUCAGGAAAAUGUCACCAUAAUUAUGCAAGAAGCUAGAUUUUUCAGGUAUGUUGCUCAACUAUUUUCAAACAUUUCACUGCGGAAUAACAAAUGCACAAUUUAAUAUUCAUAAAAGUUAAAUAACCCUAAGCUCUUAAUUUUAUUAUCUGAUAGAAUCCCUUCAAAAUUCCAAUUUCCAUGAUUGCAUAUUGCAGCGAUUAAUAUAUAAAAAACAGACAACUUGGACUAGCAAAUUCAUCUAAAAAAAGAAGCAGGAACAAAGAACCCAACCAUAUCGUCCUAAAAUCCCACUGUCAACAAAUCAUAUCUUAAACCAAGCAUAGGGAUGACCAAUCCAAAACAGAGAUAGAAAAAAAGUGAUUUUAUUCCCAAGGUUGGAGACCAUAAUCUUUCGCUGCAGCAGCCACUGACAUUCAUAACCCUGUAACUUCAAAGAAGAAACAUCUAAAAGGAAUGAAUCGAUAAAAAUAAACACUUAGAGAUAAUACUAUUGAACAAAUAGAAUAACUCGUCCUGGAUUAUCUCCACCAUAGCUUCCACGUGCCACCAAGUGUUCAUAGAUUACCAUCCCUACAACAAUGAAGGAGAAAUCACAAGUCCAUAAAACUACACACUUAGAACUGACAAAGAAACAUAAACGAAAAGGACUCCUGUUGCAUAGAGAUCAGAAAAUCAAACUUCCGAAGAUGCCGAUGGCUCAGCCCUAUGAAUGACAUAAAUAUUUUGACAUUUUCAGAUAAAUCCCUUGAAAAUUUCAACUUCAAUUAUUUUGAUUGCAGAUAGAAGUGAUCAAUAUAUCUACAAACAAUUUCAUCAAUUCCUAAUCCAAAGGCUGGUUCUCUGUACCACUGUAAGGAAGAGGAUAUCUAAUUAGGAGGAGAGUGAUUCGGGUAGAUCAACAUUAUAAAAAAAUUCAUUAAUAAAGUUUAGUUACUAAGCAAAUUCUUCCAAACAAAGAGCCCAGACUUGUUGUCCUUAAUUCUUCGGCUGACAUGUACGAAUUCUCUUGAAAAUACAAAGACACCCACAUUCCGGUUCACAGUGAAUAAAUCAAAUCUUAAGAUCAAACAUAAGGUAAACCUAAUAAUGUAGGAAUUCUUUGACAAUCUCUUCCUUAGCUUUUAAGUCAUUGUUUGCCUCUCUUCUACAAGAGGUAUGAAGACUCGAACCCACCAAGAAGUUGCGCAUGUAUGUCCCAAAUCCAGAAACAAACCCUACCCCAGAAAGGAAAAGAAACCCUACACAAUUAGGGACAUCAAACAGAUAAGCUGGUGAUACCAAACCAGUAAUAUCAUGUGUUCAAUAAAUAUUUGAACACUCAACUGCACAAAAACAAAUUGCACUACUUUAUUCAAAUGUGUAAUCCAUCAGAAACCAGAAAAAAGAAACCAAACUCCUAAAACAAGUUAAAUGAUCUUAUAUGUUAUCUGAUAAUAUCCCUUGAAAAUUCCAACUUCAGUUAUGUUGAUUGCAGAUAACAGUCCUCAAUUAAUUUUAGAGACAAUUUGAUCAACUUCUAACGCAAAGGCAAGUUAGGAAGAAGAUUAGGAAGGAGAGAGAUUCCUGUAGUUCAACAUUAUAAACAAUAUUCCAAUAGAAAGUAUAGGUAGCAAAAUUUUCCAAACCAAGAGGCAGGAACAAAGAGCCCAACCUUGUUGUCCUAAAUUAUCCGCGGCUGAGAUAGGAAAUAUUAUCUAACAUGUACAGAAACCUGCGGAAAACACAAAGACACCCACAUUCCAGUUCACACUAUCAAGAAAUCAAAUCUCAAGACAUAAGGACAACCAAUCUAGAAAAAAUGAUUUUAUUCCCAAGGUUGUCGAAAACCAAGAUCUUAAUCUUCAACCACAGCCACAACAUCCCACCAACAUAACCCUGUAACACCCAAGAAGAAAUCACAAAAAGGAAUGAUUUGAUAAAACUAAACACUCGAAAUUGAUAAGGAAGACUGGAAACCCAAAUCCACAGUCCAAAUAGAGAUAAUCAUAUUGAAUGAAAAGAAUUUUUGUCUUGAUUGUGUUUAAAAACCUAAAGCUGAAGAGGAAGUCCUUGACAAUCUAUGCCAUAGUUUCCAUGUGCCACUGCGUGUUCAUAUGUUAUCUCUCCUAUAACACCAAAAUAAAAAUCACAAAUUUAGGUAACUAGAUAAUUAGAAUCAACAAAGAAAUAUUGAUAUGAAAAGAAUUCAUGAAAUACAGUUGAGAGCAACAAAUCAAGGCUGAACACUAUGAAGGAUGUUACUGUUAUAAUACCCUAUGCUGCUGAAAAACAGGUUAACAAUACAAUGUGUAUGACUGGCGUUAAAACCAUAGACAAAAAAAUAAAGGUAAUAUAGAAUAAAUUAGAUUAAUCCAAAACCAUUUGCCAUUCUUAGCCUUCCAAAUCAAGAAUCUUAAAACACUCUUACACUUGAUAGUGGAUAAGUGAUAAGUAUUAUCAAGUCUUUAGUAGGAUGUCGUUGGCUUUAUACGGUGAAAGUUGGUUCUGAUGAUAAGAUUGAUCGUUUUAAAGCUCGUUUGGUAGCAAAAGGGUACACUCAAGUUUUUGGCCUCGAUUACAGUGAUACUUUCUCCCCUGUGGCUAAGAUGGCCUCUGUUCGACUACUCCUCUCUAUUGCAGCCAUCAGACAUUGGUCUCUACAUCAACUUGCCAUUAAAACUGCUUUUUUGCAUGGUGACCUUGAAGAAGAAGUGUAUAUGGAGCAACCACAUGGGUUUGUUGCUCAGGGGGAGUCCUCUACCAUGGUUUGUCGACUUCAGAGGUCUCUCUAUGGUCUUAAACAGUCUCCUCGAGCUUGGUUUGGUAGAUUUAGCACAGAAGUGCAACAAUUUGGCAUGAUUCAAAGUGAAGCUGAUCAUUCUCUUUUUUAUCGCCACUCAACCCAAGGGUGCAUUUACUUGAUUGUCUAUGUAGAUGAUAUUGUCAUAACUGGUAGUGAUCAACAGGGCAUACUCCAAUUGAAACAACAUUUAUCUCAUCAGUUUCAAACUAAAGAUCUUGGCAAGCUCCACUACUUUUUGGGUAUAGAGGUAGCCCAAUCUAAGGACGGCUUAGUAAUUUUACAAAGAAAAUAUGCUAUGGAUAUUCUUGAAGAGACAGGUUUGUUGAAUGCCAAACCGGUUGACACUCUUAUGGAUCCAAACAUCAAACUUCUACCUAAUCAUGGGGAGCCAUUUUUAGAUUCAGGGAGAUAGAGAAGAUUGGUUGGUAAAUUAAACUACCUCACAAUCACCCGUCCAGACAUUUCUUUUGCAGUCAGUGUGGUAAGUCAAUUCUUAAAUUCUCCUUGUCAAGAACACUGGGAUGCUGUGAUACGAAUCUUAAAAUACAUUAAAGGUGCUCCAGGAAAAGGUCUAAUUUAUGAAAACAGAGGACAUACUCAGAUAGUUGGUUAUUCAGAUGCCGAUUGGGCAGGCUCACCCAUUGAUAGGCGAUCCACUUCUGGGUAUUGUGUACUUGUUGGAGGAAACUUAAUAUCUUGGAAGAGUAAGAAACAAAGUGUAGUUGCAAGAUCUAGCGCUAAAGCUGAAUACAGGACUAUGGCAUUAGUGACCUGUGAACUCAUUUGGUUGAAACAGUUACUCAAAGAGCUUCAAUUUGAAGAUGCAACACAAAUGACAUUAAUAUGUGAUAAUCAAGCAGCAUUGCACAUUGUCUCUAAUCCAGUUUUUCAUGAGAGGACCAAAUAUAUUGAGAUAGAUUGUCACUUUGUAAGGGAGAAGAUCAAAUCAGGCGACAUCACCACUAGUUUUGUUAAUUUCAAUGAUCAAUUGGCAGAUGUAUUCACUAAGUCUCUGAGAGGUCCUCGAAUCAGUUAUAUAUGUAACAAGUUUGGUGCAUAUGAUUUAUAUGCUCCAGCUUGAGGGGGAGUGUUGAAAAUAUAUUUAUAUUUAUUACAUAUCAUGUAAAUAUGGAUAAUAUCUUCCAUAUUUAUUUUUGUAUUUAUUGCCUUGAGCCUAUAUAAAACAGACUCCGUUGUGUAGUUCAGACACACGGUUUCACCAUAUGUCUCUCUCAUUUUCUCUUAUUCAACAAAUACGAUAACAACAUAAUUAAAUUUAUUUAUUGAUUCAUCGUUUAAAUAAUAUAUUUUUUAUUUUAAAAGAAUUUUAAUUUUAUUAUAAUUAAUUUACAUGAGCCUAUAAUUCGAAGAUAUAAUAAUUAAGUUUUGUUAUUUUUCUGCAUGUAAACCUAUUAACAUUAUAUUGAAAUAUGAGAUGACAACCUAAAAUUAUUUUUCAUAAAUUUUCUUACAAUAUAUUUAGACUUUAAAUUUUAUAUACAAUAAACUACAACUUCAAAAGUACAUAUUUUUCUUAAGCAUUAAUUGAACAUUUCAUUGUAUAAAUUAAUAAUUAAUAUCAUACAAUAUCAUUAAAAAAAAUAGUAUCUACAACAUGCCAUAAACAGAAAUGUAAAAACUAAAUAAUAUUGUUCACAAUUUAAUACUAUAGCAUAGCAUGUUUCGAGUACAUCUCUAAGAUGGUUUUAAAUUAAAUAUUUCUUCAAAUAAUUUGACUAGAAUAAGCUUUAAUUAAAACUAUAUCUAAUUUUUUAUCCAAUUUCAAAUUUUUGGAGUUUCUUUCUUAAAGAAAGACCAAAAAGUUAAGAAAAAAAAAAUACAGAUAAAACAAAACUAACAUCCAAAAUGCAAGAAAAAAUGCUACGUUAACUCUGUCAGUAGCGUAGUUGAACGUCACAAUUUAUUAACCACAGUUUAAAUUCAAAUUAGCCACGCUUAAAAGAAUCGUGGUAAAAUAUUUUUAGCCACAGUUGUUUUACGAUUAGCCACACUAAACCAUGUUAAUUGAUAACACAACAUUUCUGUUUUCACUUUUCCCAUGGGCCAAUCGUGGCUAAUGUUUUUUUUUUUUUUUUAAUAUCUGUUGCCAGGUCUUUCCUUAUUUUGAUCAUAAUUUCUUAACAUUGUCAAACCAAAUAUUUUACAAUAAAUUAAUCAAGAUAAAACCCAUAAAAUAUGUCAUAAACAUAACUAUUUAUUUGCAAUACACUAGGAAGAUAUUCUUAACAAAUAUAGCAACAAUAACUAAUUAUUAAUAUAAAAGUAUAAAAUAGUUUACACCAACAACAAAACUUAAACUAGUAGUCAAAGUGUCAAAACAUUCUAAAAUCUUAUAGAUAAACUAAUGAAGCAUACAAAACCCGUGCUUUGACAGCUAUCACCUGGUAUAUUCCCAACAGAGGCAACAUAUAUAUAAAUUCAUCCAGAAAUAGGAAUGGUGAGUUUCCCAUGAAGUAUGUUGUUGAAACAUCACUUGUUCAAGUAUUUAAUGUAAAUUGGAUGAAUAUGGCCAGAGUUUCCAGCAUUACAAUUCAACUAUCAAAAUCAAAGUCAAAUAACAAACAAUCAUUAAUCAUAACAAUUUAAAGCUCUAGGAAGCUACCAGGAUAAUUAGUUGAUUAAUAGAUCAGUAUUCAAAACCAAGGUAGUCUAAGUUUGAUAUAUGCUAAACAUAUAAAUCUUAGUAUAAAUUUGAUGUAAUGGAAGUUUAGAGCUCAAAACAACCUCUGUAUCAUACUGCAGAGUCUUCACACAAUCUAAGUCUGGUUUGCAGACCAGAAGCUUUCCACAAUCAACAUCCAUGUUGCAGAUCAAGGAAGCCAUGAACAAGUCUUCUUCACUCUGUCACUUAAAGACACCAAAGCUGAAAAAUGACUAAGUGACAAUAAAUAUUGCACAAACCAUUUAAAGGCAAAAUGUAGUCAUAAAUACAGCAGUUUGCUCAUGGUAAUGCAUGCAUUGUUGGCUUUCUUCAAAUUGAAUAGAAAAUCAAAUAUUGGUCGAGAACUGACAAAAAUGCAUGCUAUAACCCUACUACAUGACAAAUUGAGAUAACCCUAUAAUGAAGUACAAAUCACAAAAUGAGAUGACUAGAUAUUUAGAAUUGCAAAGAAAUAUUGAAAUGAGACUUCAUAUAACUAGCAAUAGAGAUCAACAAAUCAAACUCGAGGUGGUGGCUGAACACUAUGAAGAACGAUAUUUCUAUUAUGAUACACUACUCUGCAGAGAAACAUGCUACCAAUUCAAUGUGUAUUGUGUAUGUCCAGUGAUAAAACCAUAGACAGAAAAAAAAAGGUAAUGCAGAAUAAAUUACAUUCAUCCAAAACACAUCUUAAACACUCUACCCUAGAACACAAGUAGUUUUAGCCUUUCAGAAAACACAUCAAAACUCCAGCUUGCUGCAACACUUCAACACAUUUAUCUCUCUGUGAUUAAACGAAGAAUAUCAAUCAAAGAAUUGAUUUAAAAGAAUAGUAAGAAUAAGUAUCAGUUUUUUAGAUGAACCAAGGAGUGUUUCUCAAGAAUAGUAAGAAUAAGUAUCAGUCAUAAAAAAUAAGAAGAAACUCUGAAAUCGAAACCAAUCAAAGCAGACAAUCAUUCUAAAGAGUUAAGGCACUCAUCUCCGAUCACCAUGGAAAAUGAUAAAAUUCGUCUUGUUAACAUUAACUUGUUGGAGGAAUUUGAAAAAGAUGUUCAUGUCAGUUAAUAAUGUGUUUGAAGGUGGAAAAGUCAUAAGAGGUGAAAUAGAAUUUCCAAUUGGUAUUAACUAUGGCAUUAAUGUCUUAAUUAAAAUCAAAAAUUUCUAAUGCAUAUCAGAUCCAAUUUGGUGCACAUUCAAGAGCAAUUACUCGGGAAUUAACGAACAUAUAACUAAGAAGAGCCUUAUAGAUGUCACUCACUAGGCUCAGUGGUGGUGAUCAUAGCAGCUCCAUUGAAAUCACAAGACCCAAGAGACUCCCUUGAUUAACAAAGGCAUAAGAAGCAUGAUACAUAAAAAUUAUUAUGAUCAUAGCAACUCUCACCAAGUUGAAUCCUCCAAAUGCUGAACGUACAUCAUAAUCUAGGAAGAAACUUCAAUAUCUAAUAAAACUACAUAUACAUCUCAGAACUUCAUAAAGAAACAUAUAGGAACAUGAAUAAAACUACUCAUUCAGUUCUUCCACCUUGAGGAGCAAAUUUUGUAGGCAAAAGCAAUCCAGAAUGAAGACAAAAUCCACCAAGCAGAACUGUGUUGUGCACUUGUAUAUUUCUAAUCCUGAAACAAUCCCCAAUUGUUUACACGAAGAAGCAUGAUGACAACAUCAAACAAACAAAUGAUACCAAACCCAUCAUAUUCAAUAAUUCACAAAAAUCAAAUACUUAAAAUCACAGGUAGGAAAAAUAAGCAUGGAGAAGAAGCAACCAAGAAUUCUGACUUUAGGAAAAUGUCACCAUAAUUAUGCAAGGAGCUAGAUUUUUCAGGUUGCUCAACUAUUUUCAAACAUUUCACUGCAGAAUAACAAAUGCA